CAACUGAAAAAGAAAACAGUGGGCGCUCUUUUAACAAACCAACACUGUGGGUGUCUCUCCCAGGCGAAACCGAUGUGGACUUCAAAUCGGCGAUUUCCCACUGCUGCUAGCGAGCUGUCCCGGUUUCCGGUUCAAGGCAGGCCGGGUGGCAUGGCCCAGUGAGCCUGUCUUCCCCGUUUCUUGUUGGACACCUUGAUCUUCACCUUCCCUUUCUGUUUCCAGUCAGGGAGCUUUUCCUAUCUCCUGGUAUAGGACUGAUAAGUAUCCCACACGCCAGUCCCACUGAGGGGCACUCCGCGGUCAUACGACCAUCCUGUGUCAAGCCCAUCACCAGCCCUUUUUAAAGAGAGAGAGCAGGGAUAGGAAAGAUCGAGAUGGGAGAGAAAGAGGGGAGGGGGGCGGAGAACAGAAUGGUCCCUGCUCUUCUGGAUCAGUGAACUCUAAGUUCGAUAUCCGAGCAGCAGUUCUCACUGAUGAGUGGUGGCUGAAUGUAAACCGCCAAGCCAGGAUAGGAAGCCCUGUGUUCCCUGCUCACUGAUGCUGAAGUCUUAGGAAGGCUGCAGCAGGUGAUGGCAGCUACCAUCUCCCUUCCCUCUCCCCUCCUUGCCCUGCUGAUGUUGAGUGAGGAGGAGUCAGAGGCCCCUAGUUAGGGCUGCUGGCCCUUACCUGGCCCAGCUACUGUGCAGCGGACAGAACGUGGAGCGUAACCCCAAUGCCAUACACAGUUGGGGAAGGAUGUGCCCAUGUGCAUAACUAAAGAUGCUCCUUUAGAAGGAGGAGGUGCCUACCUGAGUGUGAGGGAUGCUGGGAAGCAAACCUCAUGGGAUGAUAAAUCCCCCUCUAGAAUAAGGCAUUUCUCUGGUGUAUUGAAUGGAGCCUUUGAAAAGCCUUACAGCUAUCAUGGAAAUUCCACUCGGGGAAUAAGAUGAAGAUGAAUAUCCUUAGCAUUGCAGACAUGGCUUACUCUCUGAACAAUAAGAACACCACAAAAGACAUUGAACUUCCCUUCUCCGGAUGUGGCGAGAGAAGGGAAUAAAUGUAGUUAUGCUGGGUUGAUAAAGGCCCCUCCUGGGGCUGUUUUACAGGCAUUUCUACUGCUUUCCAGUCAAGAGAGAAUGAGAACUUGAUUUCCACACAGUUCUGGAGCAACACAUGUUAGAAUUAGCUCACUUUCAUCAACAGCAUUCAAACAAACGACAGGAACAAUGCCCAGCAAAGACCUCAGCAUCUUAGCUGUGUCCUGCCAUCUCCGGCCUGUUACACCGCUUCAGCCUCUCCCAGCUAUGAAUGACAGCCAUUAUUCACGUGGCUCCAAGAUCACAACUGUCACUGCGUUUAUCUGUGCUAAACCCUCCGACGUUCAUUCUGGCUGGCCCUCUUCACAGGAACAAAGGAACCGGACUCUCACGUGAACUGAAAAAAAAUUUUUUUUUGGCUAAGUGGAUCCCCGAAUCUCGGGCUGAAGCUUCGGCACAGCAGACAUUUUGUGCAGAACAGUCCAAUGACAGCCUGUAAAUAAAUGACUCAAGGGACAGCCGGAGUGAGUCUUCUUGACCACUAGGGGGAACCAUUGGACCACACCUACAUCACAGUGGCAACUGGGUGAGGCUGGUCGUCAUUAUUCACCUGUUUUAUGGGUAGUCUUCCACAAUCAAAGCUGGCCGUUGCCAAUUGCUAGGAAUUACAUGGUAACAAAGCAGAUGCCUGGCUACACUAGGCAACACGUCUUUUAAAAAAGCAAAUUUGAUUUUGACAAUAUUACCAAGGAAUGCCUAAGAGACAAAAAUACUAGUGGGAUACAAAAAUUAUAACUGGUAUGCCAGCCAUCGCUGGCCUUUUCCCAGCAGUAACUGUUUCCAGGUAGUUAGGCGACAGGUAGGCUUUCUCUGUCUCUGGACUGUGUCUGUUCAGUGGCUUGGGUGUUAAGGGAUAUUGAUAGACAUAUACUUUUUUUUUUAAAAAAAAUUACAUUUGUAUUUAUUUUAUUGUGUGUCUGUCGAGGUAUGCAUGUAGAGAUCCAAGGACAACUUGCAGGAGUUGGUUCUCUCUUCUGACAUGUGGACUCCAGUGAUCAAAUUCGGGCCAUCGGGCUUGGCAGUAAGAACAAUACUACUGAGCUCUCUCACUAGCUCUAAAAUAUAUAUAUAUAUAUAUAUAUAUAUAUAUAUAUCUGUCUAGCAUUCCUAGAAAACUUUCAAGUAAUGAAAACCAUACACAUCUUUUGAAAAUGUGUCUUGAUUCCUUCACUUCCUCAAUAAGACCAUACUCAUACUUUUUCUUUCUUUAAAAGAUGUUGCACACUGCCCUUCAAAGGCUGACACCAUGGCAUCGCCUCAACUAGAAGGUACUUAGGCGUUAGCUGGGCCACCACAGCAUUGCCUUCACAUCUGCGCACAUCUGGAAGUGUCCCAAGACAUUCUGGGAAAGUCACAUCACUUGCUGACUGACAGGCACAGGGACUUGUUUCUGCUUUGAUAUCAGAUGCAUGAGAAGGCGGAGCGAAAGCUAAGUGAAGAAGCAUGUAGGCUGAUAGAGUGACGUGUUUAUUAGCUCACAGUCUGUGAUCCCCCUGAUGAAACAGUCCUAUAACAUCAUUAAAGCUUUCAACGGC